CCACUACCUGCUGUUGGAAAACCCCUAUAUAGGUCGACCUUCACCCUCUAUGGCAAGGCACACAUCCAAAACGCCUAACUCUUCUUCUUCCUUGCCAAGAAUGCAUCUGCAACCAAACCUCUCACCAUACUCAGCUUUCUUCCUCCCUGAAAAUACAAACGCCUGACUCUUCUUCCUUACCAAGAACACAUCUGCAACUAAAACCCCUCAACAUACUCGGUUUUCUUCCUCCCUGGAAACACCUCUUCAACCCAGUCGCACCAGAGUAAAGGUAUCUCAUAUCACUAGGGUUGAGAGCAAGAGUAUCUCAUAGCAUGCUUUCUCCCUAUCCUUUUCUUUGUC
rnacentral:lncRNA from 1 species